UGCCAGUGUUGGAACUACGGUGAAACUGCU
rnacentral:piRNA from 1 species